UAUCACUUUACUUUUUUUUUUUAAAGCAGUUUCAGUAUGUAAAGUUUGAUGAUGUGCUUGAAAUUGGUGGAAAUAUAAACACACCCCUUGUAAGUGCAAAGUAUGUAAGAAGUUUUCGCCUUUACAAGAUUUACAGUGAUUGUGUUUAAUUCUCACUUGUUUUCUUUUGUUCAUCAUUUAGGACAGCAGUUUUUCUUUAAGAUAGUUUUACAGGUUAAAAUUGUUUAAGUGGAUUAAAAAACAACUGACACUGCAUGCUACUGUUCUCUCUGAAAAGAAAGAACCCCCUGUGCUGAAUACUAAUACGUGUUAGUAUUCCGUGUUUGAGUCGUUGGGUCUACCCGCAGAGUGAGCGUUUUCUUUUAAACUUCCUUGACAUUUCCAAGCUUACUGCGAGUAGAAUUGCAGUGUGUGUUGUCAGCUGUAGGUGGCAAAGGCGUCCUUAGCAAAAGGAAACUGGGUUUUCAAAAUGGGCUAUGGGAGCACAAGCUGAAGCUUUAGUGCCUUCUACAAUGUUUUCUAGAAUUUUCUAUGUGCUAGUCAUCCUGAAUUCAUAUGGAAUCUAGGUGGAUAUUCUGUUCAUACCCAUAGAGAGGUAUGCAAGUCAAGUGUCAGGAGAGCUGCUUACUUAGUUCACCUAAUAUGAAAAGGAAGUCUUGUUUUCAAGGCUGAUUGUUGAGUUUAACAGUACAGUUUUGGGACCAUCAAUUUUAUACUGUGACAAUUGAAGCAUGCUGUUCUCCCUAAAAGGAACCUUUUUGUGGUCUAUGUUGAUGUUGAAUGACCUUAAUGAUUACCUCUCAGUUGUCUUCUCUAAAUGAUGUGCUGACUGAGGGAAGCCUCGUUUACCAGGGAGGUUGUGUGUCCCAGGGUAUGUUUCCUUGAGUUUAAAAUUCGGGUGGUCCGUCGUAGAUAGACUCACCUUUCCCUGACGGUGUGCAAGACGACAGCAUUGCAAAGGUUUUUCGUCUCAAAACGUUUAACUUGUGGUUUUUGAAUUCUUUUCAUUACUGUUAUAUUUCCAAAAAAAAAAGUAACAGUUUUAAUUAGCAUGUUAUUAAAAAAUCAAGUAUAAUUUUAUUUUAAUGCAGUCUAAUACAAUCAAAUUACUCAGUUGCCUUACCUCAAUGGGAAGAGUUACUUGUACAGAUAGAGUUAAAAAGCUGAGUAGCAGGUGGUCACUUGGUUUCACCUUGAAUUUUCAUGUUAAUACUGUUGAGGUUGAAGUCUUUGGUGAAGACUGAAAAGAGUUGCCCCCACCGCGAGUAAUGAAGCCUGGUUUGAUUAUUAAGCUGCUUAAUCACUCUUUUUGUGUUCAAAAUUACUGUGUGAUUUUUUUUUUCCUUUUUGUCAACUGUGUACAUUAAAACUUUGGAAAAUGCUUUACUAUGUAAAGUAUAGAUGGUCAUUUUUAUCAUUCAACCACAUACGGUUGGCUGUAAACAGCUUAUUCUGAUGUAAGAAUGCUGGGUGCAUAUGGAGAGGACUGUGUAGGAUUAUGUGUCUUGCAUCAAUAGCUGUCUUAUUUAUGAUAUGGAAGUAGACUAGAGCAAAUGUUUGAAUCUUUGUUAUUUUUAGUACCGUUUCUCUAAUAAAGCUAAGUAUUUUAGAGGAAAGUAUUUGUUUAUGCAUUUCAAAAAAACAAUCAGUUUUCAUCCUGCCUUUCUUUUCAUUGGCACAGAGAUUUUCUGUUUUUUUGCCACAGGGAAUGCACGUUUUGUGUGGUGUUUAUAAAACUGUUUUCCUCUUCUCUGGGCUCUGUGAAAUAUCUUUCAUGCUGGUCAUUAACAUGAAAUCUGGUUCCUGCUGUUGAUAUUUAGUCACUGUUAAAGUGAUCAUGUGAGGCUUGACAGAUCCUGACUUGUAAAAGCUGAAAUUG